CACCCACAGAUAGGCCCAACGUGAUGGCCCACCCACCCAAAUGCCCCCCUAAUCCCCCUGCUCCUCGAAUCCUCCCAGACUAUUCCCUUCGAUUCGGUGCGGAGCGGAACCACCGGAUGCUCCUCCACGCCCUCCCGCAGCCGCGGCGCCGCCGGCUUUCGCGGAGAAGAACAGAUAUCUCCAGCUAAGUGCUGAAUACCUAUAAUUUGUGGUGGUUGCCUGCUUGGGCUCAGCUGUAAGUAACUUGUCUUGCACUGCGUUGGAAAAAGGAUGAAUUGCUUCCAUCGUGCAAUUCUCUGAACAAACCGAGAAGGUGAACAAGGUGUGAGAUGACCAUUCUUGAACAAUCUAGCAUCCUCUUGUGAAUUUUGCCUGUUUAAAGAGUAUUUAUUUCUACACAAUGGAAAAGGAGAACCUCUUCAAUGUAGGACACUUAGAACAAGAUAAGCUGUCAUCAAUAAUAUGGACGAGGUGAAUCAGUUGUCAGCGAAGAAAUACAAGUUCAGAACGAACAGGCUGCUCUGGGAAUGAUGCCCCGACAAUAACAGGCUUCACUUUUAUUUGGCUUCAUUGUGCCAAUCUUUUUAUUGUAUUGGUAGGUUUAUGAAAUUGUAUUAACCGGACUUUUGACGUGGUUAACGAUAUUGCAGCGUCAACCAGCCGGCAAAGUCUGACUGAUUUGAUUCAUUGGCUCAUUAGUGCGUGCUCGCAAUUUACGUGUUUGUCAGCGUAA